rnacentral:rRNA from 1 species
GACGAACGCUGGCGGCGUGCUUAACACAUGCAAGUCGAACGGAAAGGCCCUGCUUUUGUGGGGUGCUCGAGUGGCGAACGGGUGAGUAACACGUGAGUAACCUGCCCUUGACUUUGGGAUAACUUCAGGAAACUGGGGCUAAUACCGGAUAGGAGCUCCUGCUGCAUGGUGGGGGUUGGAAAGUUUCGGCGGUUGGGGAUGGACUCGCGGCUUAUCAGCUUGUUGGUGGGGUAGUGGCUUACCAAGGCUUUGACGGGUAGCCGACCUGAGAGGGUGACCGGCCACAUGGGGACUGAGAUACGGCCCAGACUCCUACGGGAGGCAGCAGUGGGGAAUAUUGCACAAUGGGCGGAAGCCUGAUGCAGCAACGCCGCGUGCGGGAUGACGGCCUUCGGGUUGUAAACCGCUUUCGCCUGUGACGAAGCGUGAGUGACGGUAAUGGGUAAAGAAGCACCGGCUAACUACGUG